AUUGAACGCUGGCGGCAGGCCUAACACAUGCCAGUCGAGCGGAUGAAGGGAGCUUGCUCCUGGAUUCAGCGGCGGACGGGUGAGUAAUGCCUAGGAAUCUGCCUGGUAGUGGGGGAUAACGUCCGGAAACGGGCGCUAAUACCGCAUACGUCCUGAGGGAGAAAGUGGGGGAUCUUCGGACCUCACGCUAUCAGAUGAGCCUAGGUCGGAUUAGCUAGUUGGUGGGGUAAAGGCCUACCAAGGCGACGAUCCGUAACUGGUCUGAGAGGAUGAUCAGUCACACUGGAACUGAGGCACGGUCCAGACUCCUACGGGAGGCAGCAGUGGGGAAUAUUGGACAAUGGGCGAAAGCCUGAUCCGGCCAUGCCGCGUGUGUGAAGAAGGUCUUCGGAUUGUAAAGCACUUUAAGUUGGGAGGAAGGGCAGUAAGUUAAUACCUUGCUGUUUUGACGUUACCAACAGAAUAAGCACCGGCUAACUUCGUG
rnacentral:rRNA from 1 species